UACGAAGGGGGCUAGCGUUGCGCGGAAUCACUGGGCGUAAAGGGUGCGUAGGCGGGUGUUUAAGUCAGAGGUGAAAUCCUGGAGCUCAACUCCAGAACUGCCUUUGAUACUGAAAGUCUUGAGUAUGGGAGAGGUGAGUGGAACUGCGAGUGUAGAGGUGAAAUUCGUAGAUAUUCGCAAGAACACCAGUGGCGAAGGCGGCUCACUGGCCCAUUACUGACGCUGAGGCACGAAAGCGUGGGGAGCAAACAGG
rnacentral:rRNA from 1 species